GUAUCCGGCCUGAGAGGGCGCACGGACACACUGGAACUGAAACACGGUCCAGACUCCUACGGGAGGCAGCAGUGGGGAAUUUUGCACAAUGGGGGAAACCCUGAUGCAGCAAUGCCGCGUGGAGGAUGAAGUUCUUUGGAACGUAAACUCCUUUCGAUCGGGACGAUUAUGACGGUACCGGAAGAAGAAGCCCCGGCUAACUCUGUGCCAGCAGCCGCGGUAAUACAGAGGGGGCAAGCGUUGUUCGGAAUUAUUGGGCGUAAAGGGUGCGUAGGCGGUGCGGUAAGUCUUUUGUGAAAUCUCCGGGCUCAACUCGGAGCCUGCAAAGGAUACUGUCGUGCUUGAGUAUGGGAGAGGUGAGUGGAAUUCCUGGUGUAGCGGUGAAAUGCGUAGAUAUCAGGAGGAACACCUGUGGCGAAAGCGGCUCACUGGACCAUUACUGACGCUGAUGCACGAAAGCUAGGGGAGCAAACAGGAUUAGAUACCCUGGUAGUCCUAGCCCUAAACGAUGAUUGCUUGGUGUAGCGGGUACCCAAUCCCGCUGUGCCGUAGCUAACGCGUUAAGCAAUCCGCCUGGGGAGUACGGUCGCAAGGCUG
rnacentral:rRNA from 1 species